rnacentral:rRNA from 1 species
ACACGGCGGGUGCUAACGUCCGUCGUGAAGAGGGAAACAACCCAGACCGCCAGCUAAGGUCCCAAAGUCAUGGUUAAGUGGGAAACGAUGUGGGAAGGCACAGACAGCCAGGAUGUUGGCUUAGAAGCAGCCAUCAUUUAAAGAAAGCGUAAUAGCUCACUGGUCGAGUCGGCCUGCGCGGAAGAUGUAACGGGGCUAAACCAUGCACCGAAGCUGCGGCAGCGACACUAUGUGUUGUUGGGUAGGGGAGCG